UGUUGCCACAGAAAUCUUCCUGCUUCU
rnacentral:misc_RNA from 1 species